UACGUAGGGGGCAAGCGUUGUCCGGAUUUAUUGGGCGUAAAGAGCGUGUAGGCGGCCAGGUAGGUCAGCUGUGAAACUCGAGGCUCAACCUCGAGACGUCGGUUGAAACCAUCUGGCUAGAGUGUGUCAGAGGGGGGGUAGAAUUCCACGUGUAGCAGUGAAAUGCGUAGAGAUGUGGAGGAAUACCGAUGGCGAAGGCAGCCCCCUGGGAUAACACUGACGCUCAUGCACGAAAGCGUGGGGAGCAAACAGG
rnacentral:rRNA from 1 species